GAUGAACGCUGGCGGCGUGCUUAACACAUGCAAGUCGAACGGAGCACUUUAUUUGAUUUCCUUCGGUACUGAUGAUUUUGUGACUGAGUGGCGGACGGGUGAGUAACGCGUGGGUAACCUGCCUUGUACAGGGGGAUAACAGUUGGAAACAGCUGCUAAUACCGCAUAGGCGCGCGGCAUCGCAUGAUGCGGUGGGAAAAACUCCGGUGGUAUAAGAUGGACCCGCGUUGGAUUUGCGAGUUGGUGAGGUAACGGCACACCAAGGCGGCGAUCCAUAACCGAGCGGGGAGGGUGCCAGGCUACAUUGGGAAUGAGACACGGACCCAAAUCCGAGGGGAGGGAGGAGAAGGGAGUACUGCAGGAUGGGCGAAAGUGUGAUGCAGCGGCGUCGGGUGAGAGAAGAAGUAUUUCGGAAUGCACAGCUGUAUCAGAAGGGAAGAUAAUGACGGUACCUGACAAAGAAGCACCGGCUAACUACGUG
rnacentral:rRNA from 1 species